AGUGAACGCUGGCGGCGUGCCUAAUACAUGCAAGUAGGAGGAAGUGGCGCACGGGUGAGUAAUAUAUAGCCAAUCUGCCCCUUGCUCGAGGACAACAGUUAGAAAUUACUGCUAAUACUCCAUAGCAAGGGAUGAGACUACAUCGUAUCAGCUAGUCGGUGGGGUAACGGACUACCGAGGUUAUGACGGGUAACUGGUCUGAGAGGCUGAUCAGUCACAUUGGAACGGUGACUCAGUACAAACUCCUACGGGAGGCAGCAGUAGGGAAUAUUGCGCAAUGGGGGGAACACUGACGCAGCAACGACGGGAGGAGGAUGACACUUUUCGGAACGGAAACUCCUUUUGUUAGGGAAGCGGUACCUAACGAAUAAGCGCCGGCUAACUACGUGCCAGCCGCCGCGGUAAUUC
rnacentral:rRNA from 1 species